UACAGAGGGUGCGAGCGUUUAAUCGGAAUUACUGGGCGUAAAGCGCGCGUAGGCGGCUUUGCAAGUCGGGUGUGAAAUCCCCAGGCUUAACCUGGGAACUGCAUUCGAGACUGCAUUGCUAGAGUAUGGGAGAGGGAAGUGGAAUUUCAGGUGUAGCGGUGAAAUGCGUAGAUAUCUGAAGGAACAUCAGUGGCGAAAGCGACUUCCUGGACCAAUACUGACGCUCAUGUGCGAAAAGCGUGGGGGAGCAAACAGGG
rnacentral:rRNA from 1 species